AUCUGAAAUAAUAAAGAAGAAACAUAUUUGAAAGUAAGAAGAAUGAAGAAAAUAAUAUUGAAAAUUCUAAACUAAAGAUAAUUCAGGAAUAAAAUCAUGUGUACUACUCACUUCUGUCAUUUUAAGUGUGCAGUAAUCAGUAUAAGUUACCUAAAGGAAUUUUGUAUGCUUCUUAACUGAAUCUUUCUUUAAUAUUUCACAGUCAUAAGUCAUUUGAAAAUGAAUACUUCUUCAAGAGCUUUAGGGGUUACAAAACUUAUAUUUGAUUUUAAGCCAAAUUAAGGCCAAUCUUUUUUCCAGGAAUUCCCUUUGAAGCUUCAAAUGUCAAAUAAAUUCCUUGUAAAGGCAUUAUUAGGUCAGAAUUAAAUGGCAAUCAACCCCCCUCCCCCCAAAAAAUAAAAUAAAAUUAAUAACACAAAUAAAAAA